AACGAACGCUGGCGGCAGGCUUAACACAUGCAAGUCGAGCGCACCUUCGGGUGAGCGGCAGACGGGUGAGUAACGCGUGGGAAUCUACCCAGCUCUACGGAAUAACGCAGGGAAACUUGUGCUAAUACCGUAUACGUCCUUAGGGAGAAAGAUUUAUCGGAGUUGGAUGAGCCCGCGUUGGAUUAGCUAGUUGGUGGGGUAAUGGCCUACCAAGGCGACGAUCCAUAGCUGGUCUGAGAGGAUGAUCAGCCACAUUGGGACUGAGACACGGCCCAAACUCCUACGGGAGGCAGCAGUGGGGAAUAUUGGACAAUGGGCGAAAGCCUGAUCCAGCCAUGCCGCGUGAGUGAUGAAGGCCCUAGGGUUGUAAAGCUCUUUCAACGGUGAAGAUAAUGACGGUAACCGUAGAAGAAGCCCCGG
rnacentral:rRNA from 1 species